CUUGUAGGCGGUUUGUCGCGUCUGCUGUGAAAUUUCGGGGCUCAACCCCGAACUUGCAGUGGGUACGGGCAGACUAGAGUGUGGUAGGGGAGACUGGAAUUCCUGGUGUAGCGGUGAAAUGCGCAGAUAUCAGGAGGAACACCGAUGGCGAAGGCAGGUCUCUGGGCCACUACUGACGCUGAGAAGCGAAAGCGAAUGGGGGAGCGAACA
rnacentral:rRNA from 1 species